AUGUACCACGCUUACACUCCGCUUCCUCCGCGCCAACCUGACGACUGCUCGCUACGUUUUGUUAGCC
rnacentral:sRNA from 1 species